rnacentral:tRNA from 1 species
GGGGAUGCAGCUCAGUUGGUAGAGUGUCUGCCUCACAUGCACAAGACCCUGGGUUCAAUCCUCAGCACCACAA